GGUGAAAAGCACCCCGGAAGGGGAGUGAAAUAGAACCUGAAACCGUGUGCUUACAAGUAGUCAGAGCCCGUUAAUGGGUGAUGGCGUGCCUUUUGUAGAAUGAACCGGCGAGUUACGAUUUGAUGCAAGGUUAAGCAGUAAAUGUGGAGCCGUAGCGAAAGCGAGUCUGAAUAGGGCGUUUAGUAUUUGGUCGUAGACCCGAAACCAGGUGAUCUACCCUUGGUCAGGUUGAAGUUCAGGUAACACUGAAUGGAGGACCGAACCGACUUACGUUGAAAAGUGAGCGGAUGAACUGAGGGUAGCGGAGAAAUUCCAAUCGAACCUGGAGAUAGCUGGUUCUCUCCGAAAUAGCUUUAGGGCUAGCCUCAAGUGAUGAUUAUUGGAGGUAGAGCACUGUUUGGACGAGGGGCCCCUCUCGGGUUACCGAAUUCAGACAAACUCCGAAUGCCAAUUAAUUUAACUUGGGAGUCAGAACAUGGGUGAUAAGGUCCGUGUUCGAAAGGGAAACAGCCCAGACCACCAGCUAAGGUCCCAAAAUAUAUGUUAAGUGGAAAAGGAUGUGGCGUUGCCCAGACAACUAGGAUGUUGGCUUAGAAGCAGCCAUCAUUUAAAGAGUGCGUAAUAGCUCACUAGUCGAGUGACACUGCGCCGAAAAUGUACCGGGGCUAAACAUAUUACCGAAGCUGUGGAUUGUCCUUUGGACAAUGGUAGGAGAGCGUUCUAAGGGCGUUGAAGCAUGAUCGUAAGGACAUGUGGAGCGCUUAGAAGUGAGAAUGCCGGUGUGAGUAGCGAAAGACGGGUGAGAAUCCCGUCCACCGAUUGACUAAGGUUUCCAGAGGAAGGCUCGUCCGCUCUGGGUUAGUCGGGUCCUAAGCUGAGGCCGACAGGCGUAGGCGAUGGAUAACAGGUUGAUAUUCCUGUACCACCUAUAAUCGUUUUAAUCGAUGGGGGGACGCAGUAGGAUAGGCGAAGCGUGCGAUUGGAUUGCACGUCUAAGCAGUAAGGCUGAGUAUUAGGCAAAUCCGGUACUCAUUAAGGCUGAGCUGUGAUGGGGAGAAGACAUUGUGUCUUCGAGUCGUUGAUUUCACACUGCCGAGAAAAGCCUCUAGAUAGAAAAUAGGUGCCCGUACCGCAAACCGACACAGGUAGUCAAGAUGAGAAUUCUAAGGUGAGCGAGCGAACUCUCGUUAAGGAACUCGGCAAAAUGACCCCGUAACUUCGGGAGAAGGGGUGCUCUUUAGGGUUAACGCCCAGAAGAGCCGCAGUGAAUAGGCCCAAGCGACUGUUUAUCAAAAACACAGGUCUCUGCUAAACCGUAAGGUGAUGUAUAGGGGCUGACGCCUGCCCGGUGCUGGAAGGUUAAGAGGAGUGGUUAGCUUCUGCGAAGCUACGAAUCGAAGCCCCAGUAAACGGCGGCCGUAACUAUAACGGUCCUAAGGUAGCGAAAUUCCUUGUCGGGUAAGUUCCGACCCGCACGAAAGGCGUAACGAUUUGGGCACUGUCUCAACGAGAGACUCGGUGAAAUCAUAGUACCUGUGAAGAUGCAGGUUACCCGCGACAGGACGGAAAGACCCCGUGGAGCUUUACUGUAGCCUGAUAUUGAAAUUCGGCACAGCUUGUACAGGAUAGGUAGGAGCCUUUGAAACGUGAGCGCUAGCUUACGUGGAGGCGCUGGUGGGAUACUACCCUAGCUGUGUUGGCUUUCUAACCCGCACCACUUAUCGUGGUGGGAGACAGUGUCAGGCGGGCAGUUUGACUGGGGCGGUCGCCUCCUAAAAGGUAACGGAGGCGCUCAAAGGUUCCCUCAGAAUGGUUGGAAAUCAUUCAUAGAGUGUAAAGGCAUAAGGGAGCUUGACUGCGAGACCUACAAGUCGAGCAGGGUCGAAAGACGGACUUAGUGAUCCGGUGGUUCCGCAUGGAAGGGCCAUCGCUCAACGGAUAAAAGCUACCCCGGGGAUAACAGGCUUAUCUCCCCCAAGAGUUCACAUCGACGGGGAGGUUUGGCACCUCGAUGUCGGCUCAUCGCAUCCUGGGGCUGUAGUCGGUCCCAAGGGUUGGGCUGUUCGCCCAUUAAAGCGGUACGCGAGCUGGGUUCAGAACGUCGUGAGACAGUUCGGUCCCUAUCCGUCGUGGGC
rnacentral:rRNA from 1 species